rnacentral:rRNA from 1 species
UACGUAGGGGGGCAAGCGUUGUCCGGAAUCAUUGGGCGUAAAGAGCGCGUAGGCGGCCCUGUAAGUCCGCUGUGAAAGUCAAGGGCUCAACCCUUGGAUGCCGGUGGAUACUGCAGGGCUAGAGUCCGGAAGAGGCGAGUGGAAUUCCUGGUGUAGCGGUGAAAUGCGCAGAUAUCAGGAGGAACACCAAUUGCGAAGGCAGCUCGCUGGGACGUAACUGACGCUGAGACGCGAAAGCGUGGGGAGCAAACAGG